rnacentral:rRNA from 1 species
GACGAACGCUGGCGGCAUGCUUUACACAUGCAAGUCGAACGGCAGCACGGGUGCUUGCACCUGGUGGCGAGUGGCGGACGGGUGAGUAAUGCAUCGGAACGUGUCCUGAAGUGGGGGAUAACGCAUCGAAAGAUGUGCUAAUACCGCAUAUUCUCUGAGGAGAAAAGUAGGGGAUCGAAAGACCUUAUGCUUUUGGAGCGGCCGAUGUCUGAUUAGCUAGUUGGUAGGGUAAUGGCUUACCAAGGCGACGAUCAGUAGUUGGUCUGAGAGGACGGCCAGCCACACUGGGACUGAGACACGGCCCAGACUCCUACGGGAGGCAGCAGUGGGGAAUUUUGGACAAUGGGCGCAAGCCUGAUCCAGCCAUGCCGCGUGAGUGAAGAAGGCCUCGGUUGUAAGACUCUUCGUCCGGAGAAUACGCAUGGUUAAUACCUGUGUGGAUGACGGUACCGGAA